CCCUUAGAUGUCCGGGGCCGCACGCGCGCUACACUGAAGGAAUCAGCGUGGCUUUCUCCCUGACCCGAAAGGGUUGAGAAACCCGUUGAAUCUCCUUCGUGAUAGGGAUUGGGGCUUGAAAUUGUUCCCCAUGAACGAGGAAUUCCCAGUAAGCGCGAGUCAUAAGCUCGCGUUGAUUACGUCCCUGCCCUUUGUACACACCGCCCGUCGCUACUACCGAUUGAACGGUUUAGUGAGGGCCUCGGAUUGGUCUCGGCCCGCUCUUUACCGGGCGGCGCCGUUGGUCGAGAAGACGCUCGAACUUGAUCGUUUAGAGGAAGUAAAAGUCGUAACA
rnacentral:rRNA from 1 species